AGUAGGAGAAAGUGAGAGGCAAGGGAGACAGGAGAAAGAGUUUUGAAUGGAUUUGGAUGGACUUGUGCAGAGCUGGAGCCUCUAAGGACAGAGCUGAUGGGUAGCCAAACACUGGGUUUCUGGGCCUGUGGAGAGCUUUAAGGCCAGGCAAGCAUUCAGCAUAGCAGUAUAUGGAGCAGGCAACUGUGAGGUGCAGGUGAUUUUCACUGCACUACCUGGUACGGAGGAAGAAGGUCCUCAGGAUGGGAACCCUCCUAGUUAUCCCCGGAAGGGGUGGCAAGGUGACCUACAGGGGACUGGACUACUGACAAUGAAGACUGGAAUUGCCCCAAAUAAGUACUUCUAUACGGGUCCACAACCCCCUUGUCUUAUUAGCCAUCUUCCUCCCCUACCUUGGGAGGUUACAGCCUUACAGAACCCUUAUUAAAGUAGGUUUUAAAAAAUCUAAGCCUACACUCUCCUGAGAGAACAAUCUGGGGAUGGAUGUUCUACUCUAGGAUACAUCCUGCAGACUACUGCCAUGCAGUUCUGGCUGAAAUUGCAAGUGAUAAAGGCAACUCCGUAGGUGUAGAUGAGGCGUGAAGCCAUAGCUUACCUACCACAUGAAGGGUGGCAAGUCUCAAAACAGUUGGCUACCUAGGAGUCAGGACAAAAUUACAGAAACCAUCAAGGAGCUAGAAAGGUAGGGAUCUUUCUGCCUAGCCCAGAGCCCCCUCAGCAGUCCUAUGUGGCCAAUAAAGAAGCUAGAUGGUUCUUAGAGAAUGACUUUGAAGUAAAGAAGGAAAUGUGCCUCCC
ensembl:lincRNA Gm12055 predicted gene 12055